UACUGGUUAGCGCUGGUUAGCGCUUCGGACUUGUAACCGGAGGGUUGCCGGUUCUAACCCCGACCAGUUG
rnacentral:tRNA from 1 species